UGAGGAAUAUUGGUCAAUGGGCGAGAGCCUGAACCAGCCAAGUCGCGUGAAGGAAGAAGGUUCUAUGGAUUGUAAACUUCUUUUGUACGGGAAAAAACCACCGGUCGUGAACCGGUGCUGAUGGUACCGUAAGAAUAAGCAUCGGCUAACUCCGUGCCAGCAGCCGCGGUAAUACGGAGGAUGCAAGCGUUAUCCGGAUUCAUUGGGUUUAAAGGGUGCGCAGGCGGAAUGAUAAGUCAGUGGUGAAAUCCUACGGCUCAACUGUAGAACUGCCAUUGAUACUGUUGUUCUUGAGUACACUUGGAGUGGGCGGAAUGUGUCAUGUAGCGGUGAAAUGCUUAGAUAUGACACAGAACACCGAUCGCGAAGGCAGCUCACUAAGUUGUAACUGACGCUCAGGCACGAAAGCGUGGGGAUCAAACA
rnacentral:rRNA from 1 species